GCGUGCCUUUUGCAUAAUGAGCCUACGAGUUACUCCUCACUAGCAAGGUUAAGUUCUUUAGGAACGAAGCCGAAGCGAAAGCAAGUCUGAAUAGGGCGUCUAGUUAGUGGGGGUAGACGCGAAACCUGAUGAUCUAUCCAUGGCCAGGUUGAAGUAACGGUAACACGUUAUGGAGGACCGAACCAGUUCACGUUGAAAAGUGUUUGGAUGAGCUGUGGAUAGGGGUGAAAGGCCAAUCAAAUUGGGAAAUAGCUCGUACUCUCCGAAAUGCAUUUAGGUGCAGCCUCGAGUACAAGUGUCAUAGAGGUAGAGCUACUGAUAAGGCUAGAGGGCUUCACCGCCUAUCAACCCUUGAUAAACUCCGAAUGCUAUGACAUGUUCCUCGGGAGUGAGGCGUUGGGUGCUAAGGUCCGGCGCCAAAAGGGAAAGAACCCAGACCAUCAGCUAAGGUCCCCAAGUAUAUGCUAAGUUGAACUAACGUAGUGCGAUUGCUCUGACAGCUAGGAUGUUGGCUUGGAAGCAGCCAUUCAUUUAAAGAGUGCGUAACAGCUCACUAGUCGAGCGAUUGUGCGUGGAUGAUAAUCGGGCAUAAGCAUACCACCGAAGCUAUGGACUCAUGACUUAAGUUAUGAGUGGUAGGAGAGCAUUCCAGUUGCGCCGAAGGUGAAUCGUAAGGUUUGCUGGAGCGGCUGGAAAAGAAAAUGUAGGCAUAAGUAACGAUAAAGCAGGUGAGAAACCUGCUCGCCGAAAGACUAAGGUUUCCGGAUCAACGCUAAUCGGAUCCGGGUUAGUCGGGUCCUAAGGCGAAACCGAAAGGUGUAGUCGAUGGACAACUGGUUAAUAUUCCAGUACUACCUUAUAUUGCGAUGGGAUGACGAAGUAGUGAAAGGUCCGCGUGCUGACGGAAUAGCACGUUAAAGGUUGUAGGUAUAUCUCCGGGUUAAUAGCUUGGAGAUGCUGAAACUGAUAGUACCGUGAGCCUUCGGGCAAGCGGAUAGUGACCCUAAGCAGACUUCCAAGAAAAACCCCUAAGCUUCAGGUAUAAGGUACCCGUACCGUAAACCGACACAGGUAGUUGAGGAGAGAAUCCUAAGGCGCUCGAGUGAUUCAUGGUUAAGGAACUAGGCAAAAUGACCCCGUAACUUCGGGAGAAGGGGUGCCAUCGCAAGAUGGCCGCAGAGAAAUAGCCCAGGCGACUGUUUAUCAAAAACACAAGGCUUUGCGAAAUCGAAAGAUGAUGUAUAAGGCCUGACACCUGCCCGGUGCUGGAAGGUUAAGGGGGGGCGUUAUUGAUCUUCGGAUUAAGAAGCGCUGAACUGAAGCCCCAGUAAACGGCGGCCGUAACUAUAACGGUCCUAAGGUAGCGAAAUUCCUUGUCGGGUAAGUUCCGACCUGCACGAAUGGUGUAACGAUCUGGGCACUGUCUCAGCCAUGAGCUCGGUGAAAUUGUAGUCGCGGUGAAGAUGCCGCGUACCCGCAACGGGACGGAAAGACCCCGUGAACCUUUACUACAGCUUCACAUUGACAUUGGGUAAAUAAUGUGUAGGAUAGGCGGGAGAUUAUGAAGCGGCCUCGCUAGGGGUUGUGGAAUCGUCCUUGAAAUACCGCCCUUUAUUUAUCUAGUGCCUAAUCCCGCUUGUUCGGGAGACAGUGUGUGGUGGGUAGUUUGACUGGGGUGGUCGCCUCCAAAAAGGUAACGGAGGCUUCCAAAGGUACCCUCAGCAUGUUUGGUAAUCAUGCGUAGAGUGCAAUAACAUAAGGGUGCUUGACUGUGAGGCUUACAAGCCGAUCAGGUAGGAAACUAGGGUAUAGUGAUCCGGUGGUUCCGUAUGGAAGGGCCAUCGCUCAAAGGAUAAAAGGUACUCCGGGGAUAACAGGCUGAUCUCCCCCAAGAGCUCACAUCGACGGGGAGGUUUGGCACCUCGAUGUCGGCUCAUCGCAUCCUGGGGCUG
rnacentral:rRNA from 1 species